rnacentral:tRNA from 1 species
GGGCCCGUAGCUCAUCUGGUAGAGCGACUGCUUUGCAUGCAGUAGGUGGCAGGUUCGAGUCCUGUCGGGUCCA